rnacentral:rRNA from 1 species
AUUGAACGCUGGCGGCAGGCCUAACACAUGCAAGUCGAGCGGAUGAAGGGAGCUUGCUCCUGGAUUCAGCGGCGGACGGGUGAGUAAUGCCUAGGAAUCUGCCUGGUAGUUGGGGAUAACGUCCGGAAACGGGCGCUAAUACCGCAUACGUCCUGAGGGAGAAAGUGGGGGAUCUUCGGACCUCACGCUAUCAGAUGAGCCUAGGUCGUAUUAGCUAGUUGGUGUGGUAAAGGCCUACCAAGGCGACGAUCCGUAACUGGUCUGAGAGGAUGAUCAGUCACACUGGAACUGAGACACGGUCCAGACUCCUACGGGAGGCAGCAGUGGGGAAUCUUGGGCAAUGGGCGAAAGCCUGAUCCAGCCAUGCCGCGUGUGUGAAGAAGGUCUUCGGAUUGUAAAGCACUUUAAGUUGGGAGGAAGAGAAGUAAGUGAAUACCUUGCUGUUUUGACGUUACCAACAGAAUAAGCACCGGCUAACUUCGUG